GAUGAACGCUGGCGGCGUGCCUAAUACAUGCAAGUCGAGCGAACAGACGAGGAGCUUGCUCCUUCGACGUUAGCGGCGGACGGGUGAGUAACACGUAGGUAACCUACCUAUAAGACUGGGAUAACUUCGGGAAACCGGAGCUAAUACCGGAUAAUAUUUCGAACCGCAUGGUUCGAUAGUGAAAGAUGGCUUUGCUAUCACUUAAAGAUGGACCUGCGCCGUAUUAGCUAGUUGGUAAGGUAACGGCUUACCAAGGCAACGAUACGUAGCCGACCUGAGAGGGUGAUCGGCCACACUGGAACUGAGACACGGUCCAGACUCCUACGGGAGGCAGCAGUAGGGAAUCUUCCGCAAUGGGCGAAAGCCUGACGGAGCAACGCCGCGUGAGUGAUGAAGGUCUUCGGAUCGUAAAACUCUGUUAUUAGGGAAGAACAAACGUGUAAGUAACUGUGCACGUCUUGACGGUACCUAAUCAGAAAGCCACGGCUAACUACGUG
rnacentral:rRNA from 1 species